rnacentral:tRNA from 2 species
AAAAAGAUAAGCUAAAAAAGCUUUUGGGCUCAUACCUCAAAUAUGAAUAAUAAUAUUCUCUUUUUA